AGCGAAACGGAAGCGUUUUCAAAAUUACUUAGGGAGUGUUGAAAAUGGGUAUUAUUAUUUGUUCUACUUGUGAGAAAACAAUUGAUCAUGUAAGCGGAGAGAAAGUAAGCACACUAUACAGCAGAUGUCCAGAAUGCAAUAAAAAAGAUAGAAAAUAAGAUAAUAAAUAAGAGGUGGCCAAAUGGCUACCUCUUAUUUA
rnacentral:sRNA from 1 species